AUGAGGUUCUCACUGUCCCAAACUGUCUCUCAGCGAACCAACUGUAGUGGGAACGGUCACUAGAUAUCCAGCGGGGAAAGAAGACCCUGUAGAAGCUUCACUUUGGUCUAGUCUUGUAUAGUUCCUGCGGGGGUGUAGACUAGGUGGGAGAGCAAUCGAUUCUGAAAAACCACUACCCUGUUUGGAAUUAUGCUUACCUAUCACAAGGAAUAGGACUAGAUAGAAAGUUUGGCUGGGGCGGCACACCUUCGAAAGAGCAGCGAAGGUGUCCUAAGUUGAGCUCAGUGAGGACAGAAAUCUCACGUUGAGGAUAAGGCCAAAAGCUCAAUUUACUGUGCCUUUUUGUACUAGGAUCAGUUACGAAAGUAAGGCCUAACGAUCCCUAAAUAGCCUCAGGUGCGUGAGGAUUGGGGUGACAGACAAGUUACCUCCGGGACAACUGGCUUGUGGCUGCUAAGAGAUCAAAUCAACGCAGCUUUUUGAUUCUUCGAUGUCGGCUCUUCCUAUCCUAGUGAUGUACAAGUUGCUAAGGGUCGGAUUGUUCACCCGUAUUAGGGAUCGUGAGCUGGGUUUAGACCGUCGUGAGCCAGGUUUGUUUUAUCCUACUGGAUAUAGCAUCAUGAUAGUAGAUUGAUUUAGUACGAGAGGAACUGUUGAUUAUGGCCUCUGGUUAGCGAUUAUCGGAAACGGUAUGUCGCGCAGCUACGCCGUCUGGGAUAAUGGCUGAAAGCCUCUUAAGCCAGAAGCCCAUCUAGAAAGUGAUGCACGUGAUGUUGGACCGAUACGAAUAAUCAUACUCAAAAGGUCCGCUUCAUAGGUAACCCAAUGUAGAAGACAUUGUGUGAACGAAGGUACUGUAAGCAGUGGAGUGGCAUUACGUCCACGACCUGUUGAGGUUCAGCUUCGCUUCUAGGUUUCC
rnacentral:ncRNA from 1 species